rnacentral:rRNA from 1 species
UACGGAGGGUGCAAGCGUUAUCCGGAUUCACUGGGUUUAAAGGGUGUGUAGGCGGGCAGUUAAGUCAGUGGUGAAAUCUCCGGGCUUAACCCGGAAACUGCCAUUGAUACUAUCAGUCUUGAAUACCGUGGAGGUCAGUAGAAUAUGUCAUGUAGCGGUGAAAUGCUUAGAUAUGACAUAGAAUACCAAUUGCGAAGGCAGCUGGCUACACGAAUAUUGACACUCAGGCACGAAAGCGUGGGGAUCAAACAGG